UGUCCACUCCUCUCUCUAUAGCUACCAUCGGAGUCCUCACCCUGUGUACUCUUCACUGAGUCAGUAAGGAUUGAAAGCUGACUCCAAGUAUCAUUAUCUGCCCUCAAGUUUGAAACCCAUACACCCACGGUUUUCUUCAAGGUCAUGGAAACCCCCACUAAUGAACCCUCUGUCCAAACACCAGCUACUACAGAAGAUAAUGGUGCUAUUCCCACCCAAGUUGAAGAUUCUGCUGCUACCCAAGCU